UUAGAGGUUAGAUUGCAACGAAAAGCAUUUGUACUUACAAAAUUGUGUAACUACGCGUGUGUAUGGAUGGGAUGAAACGAUACCGGAAGGAUGUUGCGUAAACGGAAGUGCGUGCGAGGCUUUUUGUUUCUUCCAUUCUUAUUGAGGGAUGCACCUGACAACAAGUUGUCGAUACAAUGGCCCGGCUGGAAGUAGAGUGAAUGGAUAAAGGAUACGAAAAAUUACAAGUCUCCAAGAUCCGGACUUGCGU